rnacentral:rRNA from 1 species
UGAAGUAGGGGAUAACACUUGGAAACAGGUGCUAAUACCGUAUAACAACCAAAACCACCUGGUUUUGGUUUAAAAGACGGCUUCGGCUGUCACUUUAGGAUGGACCCGCGGCGUAUUAGCUUGUUGGUAAGGUAACGGCCUACCAAGGCGAUGAUACGUAGCCGACCUGAGAGGGUAAUCGGCCACAUUGGGACUGAGACACGGCCCAAACUCCUACGGGAGGCAGCAGUAGGGAAUCUUCCACAAUGGACGAAAGUCUGAUGGAUUUUCGCCGCGUGAGUGAUGAAGGGUUUCGGCUCGUAAAACUCUGUUGUUGGAGAAGAACAGGUGUCAGAGUAACUGUUGACAUCUUGACGGUAUCCAACCAGAAAGCCACGGCUAACUACGUGCCAGCAGCCGCGGUAAUACGUAGGUGGCAAGCGUUGUCCGGAUUUAUUGGGCGUAAAGCGAGCGCAGGCGGUUUUUUAGGUCUGAUGUGAAAGCCUUCGGCUUAACCGGAGAAGUGCAUCGGAAACCGGGAGACUUGAGUGCAGAAGAGGACAGUGGAACUCCAUGUGUAGCGGUGAAAUGCGUAGAUAUAUGGAAGAACACCAGUGGCGAAGGCGGCUGUCUGGUCUGUAACUGACGCUGAGGCUCGAAAGCAUGGGUAGCGAACAGGAUUAGAUACCCUGGUAGUCCAUGCCGUAAACGAUGAGUGCUAAGUGUUGGAGGGUUUCCGCCCUUCAGUGCUGCAGCUAACGCAUUAAGCACUC